rnacentral:rRNA from 1 species
AAUCUUGCGCAAUGGACGAAAGUCUGACGCAGCGACGCCGCGUGAAGGAUGAAGGCCUCAGGGUCGUAAACUUCUGUCAUUGGGGACGAUAAUGACGGUACCCAAGGAGGAAGCUCCGGCUAACUACUUUCCAGCCGCCGCGGUAAUACGUAGGGAGCGAGCGUUGUCCGGAAUUAUUGGGCGUAAAGGGGGCGUAGGCGGCUUUGCAAGUCUUGUGUGAAAGACCUCGGCUUAACCGAGGUAGGCCACAGGAAACUGCGGAGCUUGAGUGUCGGAGAGGGUAGCGGAAUUCCAGGUGUAGCGGUGAUAUGCGUAGAUAUCUGGAGGAACAUCCGUGGCGAAGGCGGCUACCUGGACGAUUACUGACGCUGAGGCACGACAGCUGGGGGAGCAAACA